AUACUUACCUGGCAGGGGAGACACCAUGAUCAAGCAGGUGGUUUUCCCGGGGCAAGGCUCAUCCGUUCCACUCUGGGUGUGCUGACCCCUGCGAUUUCCCCAAAUGUGGGAAAUUUGACUGCAUAAUUUGUGGUAAAGGGGGACUGCGAUUUAUUUCUUU
ensembl:snRNA U1 U1 spliceosomal RNA